rnacentral:rRNA from 2 species
GUCGAACGAACCCUUCGGGGUGAGUGGCGCACGGGUGCGUAACGCGUGGGAACCUGCCUUUAGGUUCGGAAUAACAGUUAGAAAUGACUGCUAAUACCGGAUAAUGUCUUCGGACCAAAGAUUUAUCGCCUUUAGAUGGGCCCGCGUUAGAUUAGAUAGUUGGUGGGGUAAUGGCCUACCAAGUCGACGAUCUAUAGCUGGUCUGAGAGGAUGAUCAGCCACACUGGGACUGAGACACGGCCCAGACUCCUACGGGAGGCAGCAGUGGGGAAUAUUGGACAAUGGGCGAAAGCCUGAUCCAGCAAUGCCGCGUGAGUGAUGAAGGCCUUAGGGUUGUAAAGCUCUUUUACCAGGGAUGAUAAUGACAGUACCUGGAGAAUAAGCUCCGGCUAACUCCGUGCCAGCAGCCGCGGUAAUACGGAGGGAGCUAGCGUUGUUCGGAAUUACUGGGCGUAAAGCGCACGUAGGCGGCUUUUCAAGUCAGGGGUGAAAUCCCGGGGCUCAACCCCGGAACUGCCCUUGAAACUGGAUGGCUAGAAUACUGGAGAGGUGAGUGGAAUUCCGAGUGUAGAGGUGAAAUUCGUAGAUAUUCGGAAGAAC